rnacentral:rRNA from 1 species
GUUUUACCUUGACGAAUUGUAGUUUAAAGAAGUGUUUUCUGUUGAAGUUUUGGUAAAAGUUCUUUGGAAUAGGACAUCAUAGAGGGUGAGAAUCCCGUAUUUGACCAUUAUUUUCAGCUGUGUGAUACACUUUCAAAGAGUCGGAUUGUUUGGGAAUGCAGUCCAAAAUGGGUGGUAAAUUUCAUCUAAAGCUAAAUAUUGGCGAGAGACCGAUAGCGAACAAGUACCGUGAGGGAAAGAUGAAAAGAACUUUGAAAAGAGAGUUAAACAGUACGUGAAAUUGUCAAAAGGGAAGCGUUUGACACCAGUGUUGUUUUCUCGAAAAUCAAUUAAAAAAAGUUGGAUUUUGUGUUGUAUUGACCUUAACAGCUUUCUGCACCCUUUUCCUGCUUUUUUU